rnacentral:tRNA from 1 species
GCCUUUGUGGUGCAGUGGUCAGCACUCUCGGCGCGUAAUCGAGAGGUCCGUGGUUCGAUUCCCUGCGAAGGAG